GGCCAGAACUCCCCAGGAUUUCUUCAGGCAGUCCAUGAGGUCCAAACUACCUAAUAAUAUAUUAACUCGUUACGUGCCUUUCCUGAAAAGCGUGAGAACCGCUGUCCCAGCCUUACCCUGAAGAGCGCGUGUCUCAAACUCACUGACCGCCCUCCGCCAGCUGGGGACGGUGGUCACAGCAAUGAGUUCCAGUGAGUGAAUGCAUCCUAUGGCGAAAAUCUGAAAAGGAUUCUGAAGUGAGAGCCAGAUGGUUCAGUGGCAGAAUGUGACACUCCAGGAUGAAGCUCGCAGGAACUGGGUCACAUCGCCUGUGGUGGGAGCCUACUGAUUUAACUUGGAAGAUAACAGAGUUGACAUUCCUUCAAAAUGGACUCCAUUUCUGCAGUGUGCUACUUUUUCAUUUCUGAG